GUCGCCAGACGAGUACAUGACCACACCCCUACAGACGGACGCGGAAGGAGGUAGCGGUAGGCGGCCAGCUCGGCGGCUCCUUCGCUCCUUCCCCCUGCGGCUCUGCGGAUGGAUGCGAGAUCACGCCGAGUUCCCCCAAAGUCAAGGCCCCAAGCCCCAAGUCUUCUAAAUUUUUGCACACUCCGAAGCUGCCAGACAGGCCGUGGCCAGCGUCGGGACAUGGAAUGAGAGUCUUGUUGGGUGGGUGCCCGGCAGGUUUACCCCGAGCACCCCUGCCCACACCUUGGCCGGAGCUGAUGCAAAUGAAUGGAGGGAAAAGGAAGAGGACUUGGUCAACGGGCACAGUGCACCACAUGGCGUGCAACAGGUCGAUGAGCAUGAGCAACAAGACAAAGCAUUCGCUAGGAGAUGUUCCUACCCGUGAAGACCCUAAGAGUCUUGCUGGUGGAGAAUGGUGACUACUCGUCAGCUGAUCAGUGCCCUGCUCCGCAAGUGCUGCUAUGAAGUUAACUCCUCAACAUUGUCAUAUCCUAUUAUGUUAUUCUCGACACAUUCAUAUUCCCAACUAGCGAGCAUCCGAGGCUGUGCGUGAUGGUAAAGCAGGUGAGUGAUCGAGGUUGUGCGACCAGGGCACUCACGCAGGCUCUGCAGCGAUGGGGUACUUCUCGCGCAGUGGUAGCGAGGCAGCGGCACAACCCAUGCGCACCGACGGGUGCGUACGCGAGCAGGUGCGCGCGGUGCUCGCUGCUCGUGGACGCGAGCAGCGCAAGGGCGGCGCCAGUGUUGCGUGUGGUGUGGUACACUGGUGUUGCUAGGCACCAGCAGAGUAGAGAAGGUCCAAAAGGCAUCACUUGCAGAGCACAUUGGGAGAAUUAACUUUCAAUUGUUCCAAUACGCAGCGCACUGUGUUAGCAAGCAGAUAGCAAGCAGAUUGAGAGGUACGUAACACCCUUUGUUCAACAUCCCAUCAAAGUUGUGGUUUAUUUUUAUUUUUACAUUUUUUUGUAGCUGCAAUUAUACUUAUAAUAUGUUGUUGGUAGCCCUGUGGGGUGUUGGGGGCUCAGAUUUAUCAUCUAAAGCAAAGAAUUACUGUGCUAUUCAAUUUAUGUUGUGGUUUAUUUUUAUUUUUACUUUUUUUGUAGCUGCAAUUAUACUUAUAAUAUGUUGUUGGUAGCCCUGUGGGGUGCUGAGGGCUCAGAUUUAUCAUCUAAAGCAAAGAAUUAUUGAAGUAUGUACCUGUAGCUUUUUGGUUCUUAUAAUUGCUUAGGGUUGUUACCUUUUUUGGUUACAAAUAUACUGCUCUAUUUGAUUUUUUCAUUGAACUUCAAGAGAGUACGUUUAGAGUUAUUGCGGAUAACUAUGUCACGGAUGAUGGUCGAACGAGUGUUGUCCAUUGUGCUCUUGCUUUUGGCGAAGACGAUCAUUGUGUUUGCCUUGUCAUUGGGAUAUUUGAGGUUGGAAUUAUUCUUCUUUAAUUCAUGUACAUCCUCACUAACUAAUGUGCCGCUAAUGCUAAGGUAUUAAGAGGUUAAGAGAAAUAUGAAGAUCAGUAAACCAUUAAUCUACUAAUCUCCUUUUCAGAAACUUGGGAAAAUAGCGCUAUGUAUUUAACUAAAAUGAUACUAUCAAACCAUAGGUCAUUGGUCUAAUCUAAGUGUCAUUACAGUUUUUACAUAAGUUAGUUCACUGGAGAACAGACUUAUCCGCCUUUAGUAAUGCAUUUGUUGUGUUCUUCCCACUAAUACUGGUACUAAGCUUUUUGUUAUGCUGAUGUCAUAAUUAACGAUAGGGUGGUCACUUGGUCACUGCGCGUGGGCCACGAAAUUUCGUCAUGCAGAUGUAAGUGAAAACUUUGUCAUGUAGAUGUGAGCCACGAAACGCGUCGAACUCAGGUGGCGGUUGGUUGAGCACUUGUAAUGGUAACAUUAAUGUAAAUAAAUAGCAUUGGUAUCUAUUACCAUGGGAAUGAAAAGCGCUAAUUGUUUGGAUA